rnacentral:rRNA from 1 species
UACGUAGGCAGCAAGCGUUGUUCGGAUUUACUGGGCGUAAAGAGUGCGUAGGCGGUUUUUUAAGUUUGGUGUGAAAUCUCCCGGCUUAACUGGGAGGGUGCGCCGAAAACUGGAAGGCUCGAGGAUGGGAGAGGCAUGCGGAAUUCCUGGUGUAGCGGUGAAAUGCGUAGGUAUCAGGAGGAACACCUGCGGUGUAGACAGCAUGCUGGACCAUUUCUGACGCUGAGGCACGAAAGCGUGGGUAGCAAACA